rnacentral:rRNA from 1 species
AUACGGAGGGUGCAAGCGUUACUCGGAAUCACUGGGCGUAAAGCGCGCGCAGGCGGUUUUUUAAGUUGGAUGUGAAAUCCUAUAGCUUAACUAUAGAACUGCAUCCAAAACUAUUAGACUAGAGUCUGGGAGAGGUAAGUGGAAUUAGUUGUGUAGGGGUAAAAUCCGUAGAGAUAACUAGGAAUACCAAAAGCGAAGGCAACUUACUGGAACAGUACUGACGCUGAGGCGCGAAAGCGUGGGGAGCAAACAGGAUUAGAAACCCCGGUAGUCC